UUUUGCCCCCCGGUUCUUAGAGUUGUGGAACAGGCUCAGGAUGAACGCUGGCGGCGUGCCUAAUACAUGCAAGUCGAGCGAACGGACGAGAAGCUUGCUUCUCUGAUGUUAGCGGCGGACGGGUGAGUAACACGUGGAUAACCUACCUAUAAGACUGGGAUAACUUCGGGAAACCGGAGCUAAUACCGGAUAAUAUUUUGAACCGCAUGGUUCAAAAGUGAAAGACGGUCUUGCUGUCACUUAUAGAUGGAUCCGCGCUGCAUUAGCUAGUUGGUAAGGUAACGGCUUACCAAGGCAACGAUGCAUAGCCGACCUGAGAGGGUGAUCGGCCACACUGGAACUGAGACACGGUCCAGACUCCUACGGGAGGCAGCAGUAGGGAAUCUUCCGCAAUGGGCGAAAGCCUGACGGAGCAACGCCGCGUGAGUGAUGAAGGUCUUCGGAUCGUAAAACUCUGUUAUUAGGGAAGAACAUAUGUGUAAGUAACUGUGCACAUCUUGACGGUACCUAAUCAGAAAGCCACGGCUAACUACGUGCCAGCAGCCGCGGUAAUACGUAGGUGGCAAGCGUUAUCCGGAAUUAUUGGGCGUAAAGCGCGCGUAGGCGGUUUUUUAAGUCUGAUGUGAAAGCCCACGGCUCAACCGUGGAGGGUCAUUGGAAACUGGAAAACUUGAGUGCAGAAGAGGAAAGUGGAAUUCCAUGUGUAGCGGUGAAAUGCGCAGAGAUAUGGAGGAACACCAGUGGCGAAGGCGACUUUCUGGUCUGUAACUGACGCAUGAUGGCGAAAGAAGGCC
rnacentral:rRNA from 1 species